rnacentral:lncRNA from 1 species
ACUUGAUCCAUGAUCAAGAUGAAUUAGAUUUGAAUCAAGGAAGAUUAAACCUCCAUGUAUCAAUGCUAACCACCAAUCUUUAACUCAUUGACCAAAAGAAAAAGAAAAAGAAGAAGAAGAAGAAGAAGAAAGAGAUGAAGAAUUAAAGUGCAUUAAUGGAAAUGGUAUGUAUCAAUUAACAAACAUUGACCAAAGAUAGAGAAGAUCAAGGUCAAAU